rnacentral:rRNA from 1 species
GACGAACGCUGGCGGCGUGCUUAACACAUGCAAGUCGAACGGAAAGGCCCUGCUUUUGUGGGGUGCUCGAGUGGCGAACGGGUGAGUAACACGUGAGUAACCUGCCCUUGACUUUGGGAUAACUUCAGGAAACUGGGGCUAAUACCGGAUAGGAGCUCCUGCUGCAUGGUGGGGGUUGGAAAGUUUCGGCGGUUGGGGAUGGACUCGCGGCUUAUCAGCUUGUUGGUGGGGUAGUGGCUUACCAAGGCUUUGACGGGUAGCCGGCCUGAGAGGGUGACCGGCCACAUUGGGACUGAGAUACGGCCCAGACUCCUACGGGAGGUAGCAGUGGGGAAUAUUGCACAAUGGGCGGAAGCCUGAUGCAGCAACGCCGCGUGCGGGAUGACGGCCUUCGGGUUGUAAACCGCUUUCGCCUGUGACGAAGCGUGAGUGACGGUAAUGGGUAAAGAAGCACCGGCUAACUACGCG